UUUCCUUUCCAUAUGUCAAAAUAAGUCAAACACGGACACUUUCGCUUUCGCUAUAAUUUUUCGUAAUAAAGUAUUUAUUCCUUUAAAGUCAUGCUUAAGACCUUUACCAGUUGCGUUAAAUAAGAAACUUCAUAAAGCGAGUAGUUCUAAUCAAUAAAAUGGAAGUGACGGGUGGUGCUGAAGAGGGUUUCGUAAGGGAAUGGGCCCCUUGUUCGCAUAUUUUAAAUUUAAUUCCGCCGAGGAUACAGACUGGUAUAUUUUCCAACGAGCUGUGUUUAACAUGUGUGGACGCGGUGAGCGAGUACAUAGCGCUGGGCACGAACGUGGGGCUGGUGUACUGGUAUGACCGGAAGAAAGGGAACAUACAGAGACUGCGGUGCGAGGCGUCAACGUCCCCAAUAACAUAUGUGAAGAUAGUAAGCACAGUAGACUACAUGGUCGGAGCCGGCAAUGCAGCUGGUCAGGUCACCGUGUUCCAGAUACCUAAGGAACACCCAGAGAAUGUUCCGGAAUCAUUCAAGCCUAAAGUGGAACCUAAGGUUGAAAGGUACACGAUAGGGGAUCUGCACAAGAGUAAAAUCACAGCGAUAGAGUGGUCGAAGAACGGCAUGCGACUGUUCUCCGGCGAUAAAAACGGCGUCAUCAUUAUGACUGAAAUCGACUUUUAUAUGCACCUAUGCAAAUCAAUGGAGAUUGUGAACGAGGAGCAUGAGAUAGUUCAGAUGAGCUACUACCAGAACACGUUGCUGGUGUCCAGCGUGUACCGCAGCAUCGUGUGCCAGCGACGAGACGCGCGCUGGCACGUCAACCAGCUCGGCAAGAAGGAGCGCAAGAGCCUGUGUGCUCUGGGCGCGGUGUUCCAGCACUCGUACGCUCGCGGCGGGCCCGCCAGCGCCUACUGCGCCCGCGCCGGCCUGCGACUGUGGCGGGCCGACGCUCAGGGGAAUGUGCUGCAGACCUUACUGUUCAAGGAGGCGAUAUCAAACCCAUUAACAAUAGCGGAACUUCUAAACCCUCGCUCUCACAAGCCGAGUACCCCGAUAGAACACAACCUAGGCCCCCUGCACGUGUUCCGGGAACAUUUCCUCGUGUCACACAACGACCACGUGCUUUAUAUCCUUGACCCGAGGUCACUUACUGCUGUCGCCGUCGUCGAUGACCUUAGAAGAAUUCUAUCAGUAUCGGUGAACAAGGACGAGAUAUUCGUGCUGGAGGGUCCGCGGUCGCUCGUCCGCCUCGCGCACGCGCCCGAGCCCGCCGCCAUGCUGCCAGAGGAGCCGAUAAACAUGAUGACGAAAUCCCUAACGACAUCUAUCCAGCAAGCCGUGAACACUGUCCGAGACUUGACACACCUCGACCAGACCGUGCCCUACAUAUCCAGUGUGCUCGAACAACCCAUCUCCAUGUUCACGAAGAACGAGCUCAUUGAUACCGGAGCCGUCGCCAGCGCCGAAGAGUGCUUCGAACUCCCCCCCAUUAAACACCUCCCACUCGAUCUCUCAGAGAACGUUCUCGAAUCUAUCGUCAACGAGUUCCGAGACGUCUCAAGCGACGCCGAAGAGAUUAGACGAGUCAAAACAGAAGAAUUGCAAAGAAAGUUGAAGCUGUAUAAUAGUAUAAUGGAGAAAAAGUAUGAUGGGGAACUGAUACAUAGUAGUAGGCGGAGUCGAAGGCGUGAGGGCGGGUCCGGGGGGAGUACCCCGCGGUUGGCCACGCCCGUUCGGAAGGCGCCUGAUACUGUCAGCUAUACCAGUCCCUGUGUUAUGAAUAUUAGUGUUUACGGAAACAUACCUCAACAGAACGACGAACUCCUGGAGAAGCAGAUAGAAGAGAAAGAGAAGAUCCUCGCCAAGAUGUUGAACCUGGAGUCGCUCUCCAUCGACAGCCCGAAGCCCGAGGCGCAGUCCCCGCCGGCCCCCGCGCCCUUAUUCCGACAGAUCGACAUACAACCCGCCGAGGUACCCAAACCUGUUCACAAAGUCACUAAAACCCCUAUUAAAGACCCCAAUCCCAUAGAUCUAGUCCCCAAAGUAGUCCAACUACCCAAUACCUGGAAUUUGGAAAGUAUAGAAUUGAAAUUGGACUCGAAACACAACGGAUUCAAAGACAGAUCAUUGCUCUCUCCCGAUGAAAACUUAGACAGCGAGUGGGAAAUAAUCUGAUACAAAAUGAUGUCCAAAUCUGGGUUAUUUUAUACUUUAUGAAGAUAUCAGAUUUUUGUUGUACAAUCCUGCUUUGUUAUAAGUAACAUUGCAAUAGUUCUAACCAAUAUUAUUUGUUCCUACAGAGAUGGAUUGUACAACUGUAAAAGAAUCUAUGACGUCUUAUGAUUAGUAUUUCUAAUUAAUAUUUGCAAGAUACUCUGCUGCAAGUGUCCUGUUAUGUUUUCUAAAAAGUUCUUUGAAAAGCCUUGAACUUUUAUAGUAAGGCAGAUUUAAGGGGUAGUUAUAAAAUACUCGUAUCCAUAAUCCAGUUAGUUUUCACUACUCAUAACAGCGGGAAAAUCGAUAAACAUAAGUAUUUAAGCAAUGUUUUCUAUACUCACAUAAUUAACACAAUUUGUAGCUUUUGUGAUUUUUCACCUAAAUUAAUUAAAUUUAAUUCGCAAUUGGUGCAAAUACAUCAGUGUGUAAUAUUGAUAUUAAAAAAAUAUACACCUUUAAUAUAUCGUGGAUCAAACUUAUGAGUAAGUGAUAGUUUAAAUAUGUAUUAAUGCAAAUUCUAGGAUAUUUGUCGCCAUUCAAAUAUAUCGUAAAAAAAUCUAAAAGCAACUAAACUUAUUGCUAUUCAGUUCCUAAUUCCCAAAUGCUUAUUGAUAUUAACCAACAAAUCCGACAAUAUGUUUGGAGCCACGGCAACUCUUACAUCGAUACUGGUACAACAAUAGUUUACAUUUUGUAUAAAUUAAUAAUGCAUAAUAAUAUAGUUUUCGGUGAUUUGAAUAGCCUAAAUAAAGAGGCAAUAUUUAGAAAAUACCCGCUACAAAUGCUGAAUAAUUUCAGCGUGGUAUUGUUAGGCAGACGAUAAUUUAAACCUUGCCAUAUCAACAGCUAGAAAAAUCGUAAUUUAUUAAAGGCUUAUGUUUAUCUGAUCACCAGAUAUAGUAACAAAUAGCACACAAAAAUAGUAAAUGAUCACCAAAAUGAAACUCGCAUUUUAAUGUAAAACUAUAACCAAAGUUUUAACACUUUGCUAUCCUAUUUAAGUGAAAU
rnacentral:misc_RNA from 1 species